rnacentral:rRNA from 1 species
GAUGAACGCUGGCGGCGUGCCUAAUACAUGCAAGUCGAGCGAACAGACGAGGAGCUUGCUCCUCUGACGUUAGCGGCGGACGGGUGAGUAACACGUGGAUAACCUACCUAUAAGACUUGGAUAACUUCGGGAAACCGUAGCUAAUACCGGAUAAUAUAUUGAACCGCAUGGUUCAAUAGUUAAAGAUGGUUUUGCUGUCACUUAUAGAUGGAUCCGCGCCGCAUUAGCUAGUUGGUAAGGUAACGGCUUACCAAGGCAACGAUGCGUAGCCGACCUGAGAGGGUGAGCGGACACACGGGAACUGAGACACGGACAAGACACCUACGGGAGGCAGAAGUAGGGAAUAUUACGAAAUGGGCGAAAGCCUGACGGAGCAAAGCCGCGUGAGAGAUGAAGGUCUACGGAGAGUAAAACUCUGUUAUUAGGGAAGAAAAAAUGUGUAAGAAACUAUGCACGUAUUGACGGUACCGAAACAGAAAGCAACGGCUAACUACGUG